rnacentral:tRNA from 1 species
UGGCGCGUGGUGAAAUGGUAUCACAGAGGUCUUUGGAACCUUUGUUUCAGGUUCGAGUCCUGGCGCGCCAGCCC